AAUACAUCGGAACGUGCCUAGUAGUGGGGGAUAACUACUCGAAAGAGUAGCUAAUACCGCAUGAGAUCUACGGAUGAAAGCAGGGGACCUUCGGGCCUUGUGCUACUAGAGCGGCUGAUGGCAGAUUAGGUAGUUGGUGGGGUAAAGGCUUACCAAGCCUGCGAUCUGUAGCUGGUCUGAGAGGACGACCAGCCACACUGGGACUGAGACACGGCCCAGACUCCUACGGGAGGCAGCAGUGGGGAAUUUUGGACAAUGGGCGAAAGCCUGAUCCAGCAAUGCCGCGUGCAGGAUGAAGGCCCUCGGGUUGUAAACUGCUUUUGUACGGAACGAAAAGCCUGGGGCUAAUAUCCCCGGGUCAUGACGGUACCGUAAGAAUAAGCACCGGCUAACUACGUGCCAGCAGCCGCGGUAAUACGUAGGGUGCAAGCGUUAAUCGGAAUUACUGGGCGUAAAGCGUGCGCAGGCGGUUUUGUAAGACAGUGGUGAAAUCCCCGGGCUCAACCUGGGAACUGCCAUUGUGACUGCAAGGCUAGAGUGCGGCAGAGGGGGAUGGAAUUCCGCGUGUAGCAGUGAAAUGCGUAGAUAUGCGGAGG
rnacentral:rRNA from 1 species